UUGGCCUCACUAUGUAGCCCAGGCUGGCCUUGAAUUCAUGGCAACGCUCCUGCCUCAGCCUCCCAAGUUGUAGGGUUACAAGUGUUUCCCACCAUGGCCGGCUACCAUCUUGAAUUGUUAAUGUCCUCUGUGAACAUAGGCUUCGAGACUGAUGGCUGCCUCGGGAGCAGUGGUCAGCUGACAAGGGGUAUACCAUGUGGGCUAGCAGGAGCACUGGCAGCCCCAGGGCUGGGCUCAUGCUGAGCAGUCUCACUGCAAUACCACAGGCCGCCACUGUGCUCAGAGGGAAGCAGGUGCUCCCAGGCCUGUGGUUCCUACUCCCACAGCCUGUGCUAGAAACAAGGACACAGGAAGGAAGACGAGGAUGAGCGGCCCAUAAUGCUUUGCACCCGGGCCUUCCCAGUGGGUGGCUGCUGCAGGACUUUGGGUGCAGUGUGCGCCGGGGAGGAGGGAGACACUGGACUCCUGCUCAGCGGGAGGGGACGCACCUGGGCAUGCCCCGUGAGCUGCAGCUCCAUCAGCAUUCCAAUUCUGCCUACGGAUCGAAGGUUUUUAUAUCUGCAUUUAAAAACUGACCUUGCCCUACCCGGCCAGCAUAAGGUCCUGGGUUCACUUCCCAGCGCAAACAAAACAAAACACACAGAACUCCCCAAAUUGACAUUGCACAGUGUAAGAGUAAAUGGCAAAACUCAUGCUCAUACCACAAUAAUUAGACUGAUUGAUUGGUUGAACUUACAGGGGCAUUAAAUAGCAAAUAAAACCCACCCUAACAAGUCAGGAGAUGGUGGAAGAAAGUGAAAAACCGUGGCGUGUUAGUACCCAAGGGCGCUUUUCUCCUCCUUUGCCUUUGAGCAAGCGGGAUGCAAAUUCUGCUAUCGGCCCUGCCCAGGGCGGAAGAAGCGCUGUGAGGCUCGUGUGUGCAGUGGUGCCUGGCCAGCCUCAUGGCUGCCGGCCGCGCUGUCUACACGUGGCUCAGUGUCACACGCACAGCUGGUGUUGCUGUCCUCAUCUGUCCUGAUGAGCAGAGGCUCUGGUCCCUUGCUGUCCAGUCCCUGGCUCCCCGGGCUCCCGGGGCCUCUGCUCCCCCCUCUAUGACACCGGCUUACAGUGCUCUCUGGCCUUUGAUGUCUCUCUGCCUAUGUUCAUUCCUUUACUGGCCUCAUCUCCUCCCUCAGCUGAGGGUGAGCCUUGUCUGCUUUGGCCUAUCCCCCCGAGGCUGGCCUCAGACACUGUGGUGUUCUCUACAUCCCCAAGUCUACACAGGCCAAAAGGAGCCACACGCCUGAGGUCAGUCUGCAUCCUCAGGUCUCCUGCCUUGUCCUCCUACCCAGGUUGCUGUCCCCAAAGCCAUGCAAGAUGGGGUUACUUCUCUGCUCAAGACCCCAGCACUGUCCUCUUGCUCUAGCACGUGACCCAACGCGCCCCCUCCGCACGCACGUGUGCCCCGCCUGGCCCCUUCCCCCGUCCUCUGCUCCAGCUCACGGGGAGCCUUCUGCUCGGGCUGCCGCCCUCCUGUCCCUUGGCCAGAACACUUGCUUCCUGACCUGCAGGCCGUGAUCAAGUGUCCCCACCUGCGGCCCCCCGCCGGCCACCUCAGGGCCCACUGCCUCCUCCACAUUUCCUGGCUGUGUUCAGUUCCUCAGCACCCGUCACCACGGCUGCGAUGCCUCACUGCCUCUAUGUGCUUUGCACUGCUGACUCCCUGGAAGGUCCACCCUUGCCUAGAUCGGCCGGUCCUUUUCUGAGUCGGGAAUUGUGCCCCUCUUCAAGGUGUGGUUAAAGCCAGCUCCUCUGCAACCCCCCACCUGCAGCUCUCCUGACCUCGACUGACCUUCACUCUGCUAGAGUACUGAGCAAAAUGCAGACAGGUGAUGGAGGGAGCCACGCUGUGGACUCCUGUGCUUCAGAGAGAGGCCUGCAUGGUUCCGGCAUGGUGCACGGGGAUCGCAGUGUGCAGCUGCAUCCCUGCCCCCUGCCUGUCGUGUGCCUGUCGGUCUAUCUAUCAUCAUCCACUAUCUAUCAUCUAUUUACCUAUCAUCUCUAUUAUUUCUAUAUCUAUCAUCUAUCAUCUAUCUAUCUAUCAUCUGUCAGCCAAUCUUCUUUAACACAGCCGAGGAACGAGAAGCAGUGUGGGUGACAUUUUUGGUCUGCAGUUCAUUUCCCUGGCU